rnacentral:rRNA from 1 species
GAUGAACGCUGGCGGCGUGCCUAAUACAUGCAAGUCGAGCGAACGGACGAGAAGCUUGCUUCUCUGAUGUUAGCGGCGGACGGGUGAGUAACACGUGGAUAACCUACCUAUAAGACUGGGAUAACUUCGGGAAACCGCAGCUAAUACCGGAUAAUAUUUUGAACCGCAUGGUUCAAAAGUGAAAGACGGUCUUGCUGUCACUUAUAGAUGGAUCCGCGCUGCAUUAGCUAGUUGGUAAGGUAACGGCUUACCAAGGCAACGAUGCAUAGCCGACCUGAGAGCGUGAUCGGCCACACUGGAACUGAGACACGGUCCCGACUCCUACGGGAGGCAGCAGUAGGGAAUCUUCCGCGAUGGGCGAAAGCCUGACGGAGCAACGCCGCGUGAGUGAUGAAGGUCUUCGGAUCGUAAAACUCUGUUAUUAGGGAAGAACAUAUGUGUAAGUAACUGUGCACAUCUUGACGGUACCUAAUCAGAAAGCCACGGCUAACUACGUG